rnacentral:rRNA from 1 species
GAGGAAUAUUGCGCAAUGGGGGCAACCCUGACGCAGCGACGCCGCGUGGAUGAUGAAGGCCCUUGGGUCGUAAAAUCCUGUCAGAUGGAAAGAAACGUAUAUAUGCUAAUACCGUAUAUAUUUGACGGUACCAUCAAAGGAAGCACCGGCUAACUCCGUGCCAGCAGCCGCGGUAAUACGGAGGGUGCAAGCGUUGUUCGGAAUUACUGGGCGUAAAGCGCGCGUAGGCGGUUUGCUCAGUCAGAUGUGAAAGCCCUCGGCUUAACCGGGGACGUGCAUUUGAUACUGGCAGACUUGAGUACUGGAGGGGGUGGUGGAAUUCCCGGUGUAGAGGUGAAAUUCGUAGAUAUCGGGAGGAAUACCGGUGGCGAAGGCGACCACCUGGCCAGAUACUGACGCUGAGGUGCGAAAGCGUGGGGAGCAAAC